rnacentral:rRNA from 1 species
GAGAGAGAAUUCAAGAGUACGUGAAACCGUUCGGGGGUAAACCUGAGAAACCCGAAAGAUCGAAAGCCGAGAUACAGCGUCCGGCGCCGCGGGCGAUGCGGCGACGGCGUGCACUUCUCGGCCGGUAGGACGUCGCGACCCGUUGGGAGUCGCCGACGCACGAAGGGGGCGCGCGGGAAGCUCGAGGCGGCGCGGCGGGACUCGUUCCCGUCGUCUUUGCGUUGCCCCUCGAACCCGCCGCGCCUUCAAAUAGGCGCUCGGCACGCCCGACGCGACAUUCAAACACAGACCGAUGCGUUCGUUCGGCGGUGCGCCUUUGCGGCGCGCCCGACCUCGUCUCCGCCGACGCCGUCUCCUAACGGAGGGGGCGCGCGGUGGCGGGAUAUCUCGGGCGUGUGCUCGUCACACCGACGUCCGAUCGUCAGCGACGCUUUUGCUUUGGGCGUUUUCAGGACCCGUCUUGAAACACGGACCAAGGAGUCCAACGCGCGCGCGAGUCAAUGGGAGCAAACUAUUAAACCCAAAGGCGAAGCGAAAGCGAAGGACGACCGGGGGCGGGCGGAUCUCCGUCCGCAUCCCGUCGUCCGUCGGGAGGAUGGGCCGCCGACCUAAUCGAGCGGCCCCGCACUCCCGGGGCGUCUCCACCAGGCACCGUCACGAUCGACGUUCGCUCGUCGUCGUUCGGUGCCGGAGGCGCACCUCUAGCGCGCACGCUGGGACCCGAAAU